rnacentral:rRNA from 1 species
UACAGAGGGGGCAAGCGUUGUUCGGAAUUACUGGGCGUAAAGGGCGCGUAGGCGGCCUUCUAAGUCGAACGUGAAAUCCCCGGGCUCAACCCGGGAACUGCGUCCGAUACUGGAUGGCUUGAAUUCGGGAGAGGGAUGCAGAAUUCCAGGUGUAGCGGUGAAAUGCGUAGAUAUCUGGAGGAAUACCGGUGGCGAAGGCGGCAUCCUGGACCGACAUUGACGCUGAUGAGCGAAAGCUAGGGGAGCAAACGGG